ACCGCUGAAACUAAGCAUAUCAAUAAGCGGAGGAAAAGAAACUAACAAGGAUUCCCCUAGUAACUGCGAGUGAAGCGGGAAAAGCUCAAAUUUAAAAUCUGGCAGUCUCUGGCUGUCCGAGUUGUAAUCUAGAGAAGUAAUGCCCGUGCUGGACCGUGUAUAAGUCUCCUGGGAUGGGGCGUCAUAGAGGGUGAGAAUCCCGUCUUUGACACGGACUACCAGUGCAUUGUGGUAUGCUCUCAAAGAGUCGAGUUGUUUGGGAAUGCAGCUCAAAAUGGGUGGUAAAUUCCAUCUAAAGCUAAAUAUUGGCGAGAGACCGAUAGCGAACAAGUACCGUGAGGGAAAGAUGAAAAGAACUUUGGAAAGAGAGUUAAACAGUACGUGAAAUUGCUGAAAGGGAAAUGCUUGAAGUCAGUCMCGUUGGCCAGGAAUCAGCCUUGCUUUUGCAUGGUGUACUUUCUGGUUGACGGGUCAGCAUCAAUUUUGACCGCUGGAAAAAGACCUGGGGAAUGUGGCAGCUUCGGCUGUGUUAUAGCCCCUAGUCACAUACAGUGGUUGGGAUUGAGGAACUCAGCACGCCGCAAGGCCGGGUUUCGACCACGUUCGUGCUUAGGAUGCUGGCAUAAUGGCUUUAAGCGACCCGUCUUGAAACACGGACCAAGGAGUCUAACAUGCCUGCGAGUAUUUGGGUGGAAAACCCAAGUGCGUAAUGAAAGUGAAAGUUGAGAUCCCUGUCGUGGGGAGCAUCGACGCCCGGACCAGAACUUUUGGGACGGAUCCGCGGUGGAGCAUGUAUGUUGGGACCCGAAAGAUGGUGAACUAUGCCUGAAUAGGGUGAAGCCAGAGGAAACUCUGGUGGAGGCUCGUAGCGAUUCUGACGUGCAAAUCGAUCGUCAAAUUUGGGUAUAGGGGCGAAAGACU
rnacentral:rRNA from 1 species